AUAGGGCCCAGGCCCGGGCUGCAGCUGUUUGCCUCAAGGAGGACUCAAGCGGGGUGAAGCUGCUGUUUUUCCUGAGAACUGGACAUGCCUGCCUUCCAUGAGAAUGUUUCUUCCCCUCCCAGUCUACUGACUCAUAUGCCAAGCUCUUGUGCACAGAUGUACCCAAAAGGAAUGUGUACUUUACCAGCUCUCUAGGAUUAGAUACUGAGGACAUGUCUGUGCUAACUUUGUCUUCUUGGCUUCCCCCACUACUCUUUUCACCUAGGGACCUCUCUCUAAAGCCAACAGAGAGGUGGUAUGUAGC